UACGGAGGGGGCUAGCGUUGUUCGGAAUUACUGGGCGUAAAGCGCGCGUAGGCGGACCUGCAAGUCGGGUGUGAAAGCCCUGGGCUCAACCCAGGAAGUGCACUCGAAACUGGCGGGCUAGAGUAUCGGAGAGGUUGGUGGAAUUCUCGGUGUAGAGGUGAAAUUCGUAGAUAUCGAGAGGAACACCGGUGGCGAAGGCGGCCAACUGGACGAAUACUGACGCUGAGACACGAAAGCGUGGGGAGCAAACAGG
rnacentral:rRNA from 1 species